AUGCUUCUACUCACCAUGGAGAAAACCGACGAACGCCAAUAACGCAAGAUUACUAAUGUAUUAGGGAUCUAAGAGAACUACACCGGGGAGAAUUUACAGGCAACGCCAAGAGGAAUUUCGGCCCUAAUCCUCCUCUUCAACGUGGUUUGUUCGACCUAUAUUACUCUAUCUAUCUCCUUUUUCUGUCUCAAUAACAUUACAAAUCUACAUAUUUUCUGAAUAAUUGACUGAAAUUAGAUUGAUAGGACGAAUUCGAAGGAUGAGCCUCCUGCAAACAGGCGACUGAGUUUCGCAGUUGUCAAGGUUUGAGUUUCAUCGUUGAGUAAUUUGCUUUUGUGGGUAACGGGUUUUGAUUCAAUUACAAUUGGUUUAACUUUGGGUUUUAGGGUUUGGAUACAGUUACGAUGGUUUAAUUAUGCGUUUUAAUCGUUGUCAUUCAUCAUUGUCCUAAAUAGAUAAUAACUGCUUGAAAAUAUUGCAUGUUUUUGGUCCAAAAUGAGUUUGAAGCAGCCACAUCCAUGUUGAAGUGUGGAGUAUUUGAAGUGCAAAGUGCGAGUCUGAUUUUGAUUUUGAUUUCGAUGUUAACCUUGUUCAGGAGUUUGGUAUGUUCAUUGUCAUAUUGAGCGUCAUGUUAAUUACAUGGGGCAUGAUGACGACUUUCAUUGUCAAGGAUGGUAACAACCCCAAAUCACAAUUGAUGCCUCCACCUCCAGACAUGCCACCAUGUUAAAGACAAGAGCAUAAAUUUCUUUUGGUUAGAUUCUCAGUUUCCUGAAAGUACAACUCUUGAUUUUGGGAAUAGUGUGUUCUGUUAUAAUCUUGGCUUAGUCCCUUGCAACUAGUAAAAGUUGUUAUAAUUAGUUUCUAAAACGAAGGCAAUGGUACUUGAAAAUAAUAUCUUAAAGAAUCUAAGAGAAUACUACAAGAAAGAGUUAUGGCGCCAACGCUAGUAUUAUUGUACCAGAGAGCACAAUCGUAAUCCAUAAUGAGAUUAUUAAUCACAUUUCAGAGUAACAUACAUUAAGGACUUCCUGUUGAAAAAGUAGAAUAGCGAGAGGACUAUAUAUACAGUAUUUAUCUUGUUUAAGAAAGUAGUUCCUAUGGCAGUGCUCUCUGCCAGUGGACGAGAAUAUUUGGUGAAUGUUUAUUAAUGUUGUGCAGUUGUUCUUAUAAUUUAAAUUUGUAGCCUAUUUCACUUUAUCUCUUAAUAUCUUCACAUUGUCUACCUAAAACGAUCGGGCAUUACACUAUAUUCGAUUUCUCUUCAACAUUUCGUCCAUCCCUAUUUGAGAAGGAAGGAGAGGGGGUGGAUUUUUGCUGAACUUGUUUUCCUAGUGGUGGGUGUGAUAAUAAUUUAAGUUUUCUUGUUAAGAUACUAGAUUGUAUGUUGCUUUUUUUUGUCUUAAUAUAUGUCACAUUUCUGUAUGAAUCUGGCACUAACAACAUUUCUAUUCUGAACCAGAUCCACGGUUGAUAGAUUAUGUCACACUACUUCAAAAUAUACAUGAUCUGAGAUCUGGACAACCUAUUGAGGUUCCAAUAUAUGAUUUCAAGUCCAUCUCUCGAACAGGCUACAGGUGCAUGGACUCUCUGUGGAGAUGGAAGGACAUUACCUCUUUGAGGAAUGCUUACCAUGGAAACGCAGCUGGAACUAUGGGUGCAACUGCUCAGUGCAAUUGGAAGUUCAACGUUACUCAGUACUUUUUAGAUCGUCGGUUUUCAAGUUAUGACAAAGAGCAGAUUGACGAAGUAAGAACUCUGUGGGUGCGCUAUGUUGUUCAACAAUUGUAUGAUAAUUAGGUUACAUUGAAGGACCCAAAAAAUACAACUCUAGUAAUUGAUGUAUUUUGCAUAGUUUAAUGUUUGCAAUGUUAUUUUAAAAUAUAUUUAUGUAAUCGAUUUUAUUAGGGUUACAAAUGCAAAAUUCAUUAAGGUUUGAAAAUUAA